UACGUAGGGUGCAAGCGUUAAUCGGAAUUACUGGGCGUAAAGCGUGCGCAGGCGGUUGUGCAAGACCGAUGUGAAAUCCCCGGGCUUAACCUGGGAAUGGCAUUGGUGACUGCACGGCUAGAGUGUGUCAGAGGGGGGUAGAAUUCCACGUGUAGCAGUGAAAUGCGUAGAGAUGUGGAGGAAUACCGAUGGCGAAGGCAGCCCCCUGGGAUAACACUGACGCUCAAGCACGAAAGCGUGGGGAGCAAACAGG
rnacentral:rRNA from 1 species